GAGCUGAUUUGGAUUUGAGGCUCUCUGCUGUGAAGUAACUCUGGCCGGGGAGACUAUGAAUACUCUCUUCAUACAAUAAAUUCAGGGAGCCCAUCUGGUGUCACUUUGCAAUUCAGGAUGACCUUGAGCUCACUUUGUACCUGGCUGAUCUCAAACUCGCAAUCAUCCUCCUGCUUCAGCCUCCCAAGUGCUGGGAUUACAGGAGUCUUCUGUGGGAAAAGGGAGAAGAGACAGCAACCCAGCCAUAAGGAAGGUCCACCAGCAGCAGAAUUUGAUGACUUAUUCCUGCUCCAAGUUACGGAUGCCUCCUCUCUUUCUCUUACUGGCUCUUCCUUUCCAGUACAGUUCUUUGAGGUUAGAAAGUGUCUCAGCUAUUUUCAAACACCUGAGAAGCAGAGGAAAUAAUAAGGGCUGGUCUACCA